rnacentral:rRNA from 1 species
UACGGAGGGGGCGAGCGUUGUCCGAAUUUAUUGGGCGUAAAGCGCGUGUAGGCGGACGAACAAGCCUGGGGUGAAAGGUUGGGGCUCAACCCCAAGAGUGCCCUGGGGACUGUUCGUCUGGAGGCCGGCAGAGGAGAGUGGAAUUCCUGGUGUAGCGGUGGAAUGCGUAGAGAUCAGGAAGAACACCCAUGGCGAAGGCAGCUCUCUGGGCCGGUACUGACGCUGGAGACGCGAAAGCGUGGGGAGCAAACAGG